rnacentral:lncRNA from 1 species
GGAGAUUUGCCCCCUGCACUUGUGGAUCCAGUUUGGGGAGGUCCAGUUUGGCUCUUUGAUAAUGUCUCUGGAGCUUGAAAUGAUUUCCAGUGGUGAAGGCCCGUCAUGACCCAUGUACCUCAUAUGAGCAGAGAAGGAGCCAGCAGAAAGGAGAGUGACAAUAAACAAGGUAAGAAAUAAUUGACAGAGCAAGUUUCCUGAGGGUCUGGAAAAGAUAGAAUUGAGAACACAGGUAGAACAGAAAUAGCAACACUUUGUUAAAUGGAGAGAAGAUAGGAAAGCAGGGAGCAAGUAUAGCCUUAAAUAAAUAUGUUGUGUGUAAUAGCA